rnacentral:rRNA from 1 species
GACGAACGCUGGCGGCGUGCCUAAUACAUGCAAGUUGAGCGCUGAAGGUUGGUACUUGUACCAACUGGAUGAGCAGCGAACGGGUGAGUAACGCGUGGGGAAUCUGCCUUUGAGCGGGGGACAACAUUUGGAAACGAAUGCUAAUACCGCAUAAAAACUUUAAACACAAGUUUUAAGUUUGAAAGAUGCAAUUGCAUCACUCAAAGAUGAUCCCGCGUUGUAUUAGCUAGUUGGUGAGGUAAAGGCUCACCAGGGCGAUGAUACAUAGCCGACCUGAGAGGGUGAUCGGCCACAUUGGGACUGAGACACGGCCCAAACUCCUACGGGAGGCAGCAGUAGGGAAUCUUCGGCAAUGGACGAAAGUCUGACCGAGCAACGCCGCGUGAGUGAAGAAGGUUUUCGGAUCGUAAAACUCUGUUGGUAGAGAAGAACGUCGGUGAGAGUGGAAAGCUCAUCAAGUGACGGUAACGACCCAGAAAGGGACGGCUAACUACGU